rnacentral:misc_RNA from 1 species
GCCAAGCAUCUCAGUGAGAUUGGGGGUGUUAGUGCUUUUAAUAGCUUUGAAAUUGUAUUCUAUACUUUAAAUUACCUCUGAUGUUGGUGUCAAAUUCUGGGUUUCACAUGUGCUCAGGCCAUGCUAGGGCCUAGGUGCAAGCUGUGAACUGUAUCUGUACUGGACAUGCAGCAAUGCAUACCUUCCUCAGAUCCAGAAACUAAAGGCAUUCUGAAUCUUAAGCAUUUUCUAUCACAAUUAUGACAUUAUCUCCUUUGUCCUUUAUAAACGUGAUAUAUUAAGAGUAGGUACGAUCUGGCAUCAUGGUAACUUUUGUUCUGAUAAUCAGAUUGGUUAAGAAUGGGUAAGUUGCAAGACCCUUUUUUUUUUAAUAUAGAAAGAAAGAAAGAAAUUGCAUUAGGAGUGAAAGACAAAAUGAGUUCAAAAAGGUGGGAGAAGUUUCUUCCUAAGCUAGAAUAAGGAGGAAAAGAGAAGAAUCAACCGUUAAUUCAUUUGUGUGCUUUCCAAUGUUCCUGUAUUUCUUUUAUUGAAACCUCUUGAAAUGUAACAGAAGCAUAAGGCCAUAUUAUAACCCGAAACUGUUAUUCGUUACACUAAUCUUUGCAGGAUGCAUUACAUUUCUCCAUGUCAUUUAGGAAAAUGGACU